GUUAAGCGACUAAGCGUACACGGUGGAUGCCCUGGCAGUCAGAGGCGAUGAAGGACGUGCUAAUCUGCGAUAAGCGUCGGUAAGGUGAUAUGAACCGUUAUAACCGGCGAUUUCCGAAUGGGGAAACCCAGUGUGAUUCGUCACACUAUCAUUAACUGAAUCCAUAGGUUAAUGAGGCGAACCGGGGGAACUGAAACAUCUAAGUACCCCGAGGAAAAGAAAUCAACCGAGAUUCCCCCAGUAGCGGCGAGCGAACGGGGAGCAGCCCAGAGCCUGAAUCAGUGUGUGUGUUAGUGGAAGCGUCUGGAAAGGCGCGCGAUACAGGGUGACAGCCCCGUACACAAAAAUGCACAUGCUGUGAGCUCGAUGAGUAGGGCGGGACACGUGGUAUCCUGUCUGAAUAUGGGGGGACCAUCCUCCAAGGCUAAAUACUCCUGACUGACCGAUAGUGAACCAGUACCGUGAGGGAAAGGCGAAAAGAACCCCGGCGAGGGGAGUGAAAAAGAACCUGAAACCGUGUACGUACAAGCAGUGGGAGCACGCUUAGGCGUGUGACUGCGUACCUUUUGUAUAAUGGGUCAGCGACUUAUAUUCUGUAGCAAGGUUAACCGAAUAGGGGAGCCGAAGGGAAACCGAGUCUUAACUGGGCGUUAAGUUGCAGGGUAUAGACCCGAAACCCGGUGAUCUAGCCAUGGGCAGGUUGAAGGUUGGGUAACACUAACUGGAGGACCGAACCGACUAAUGUUGAAAAAUUAGCGGAUGACUUGUGGCUGGGGGUGAAAGGCCAAUCAAACCGGGAGAUAGCUGGUUCUCCCCGAAAGCUAUUUAGGUAGCGCCUCGUGAAUUCAUCUCCGGGGGUAGAGCACUGUUUCGGCAAGGGGGUCAUCCCGACUUACCAACCCGAUGCAAACUGCGAAUACCGGAGAAUGUUAUCACGGGAGACACACGGCGGGUGCUAACGUCCGUCGUGAAGAGGGAAACAACCCAGACCGCCAGCUAAGGUCCCAAAGUCAUGGUUAAGUGGGAAACGAUGUGGGAAGGCCCAGACAGCCAGGAUGUUGGCUUAGAAGCAGCCAUCAUUUAAAGAAAGCGUAAUAGCUCACUGGUCGAGUCGGCCUGCGCGGAAGAUGUAACGGGGCUAAACCAUGCACCGAAGCUGCGGCAGCGACGCUGAUGCGUUGUUGGGUAGGGGAGCGUUCUGUAAGCCUGUGAAGGUGUGCUGUGAGGCAUGCUGGAGGUAUCAGAAGUGCGAAUGCUGACAUAAGUAACGAUAAAGCGGGUGAAAAGCCCGCUCGCCGGAAGACCAAGGGUUCCUGUCCAACGUUAAUCGGGGCAGGGUGAGUCGACCCCUAAGGCGAGGCCGAAAGGCGUAGUCGAUGGGAAACAGGUUAAUAUUCCUGUACUUGGUGUUACUGCGAAGGGGGGACGGAGAAGGCUAUGUUGGCCGGGCGACGGUUGUCCCGGUUUAAGCGUGUAGGCUGGUUUUCCAGGCAAAUCCGGAAAAUCAAGGCUGAGGCGUGAUGACGAGGCACUACGGUGCUGAAGCAACAAAUGCCCUGCUUCCAGGAAAAGCCUCUAAGCAUCAGGUAACAUCAAAUCGUACCCCAAACCGACACAGGUGGUCAGGUAGAGAAUACCAAGGCGCUUGAGAGAACUCGGGUGAAGGAACUAGGCAAAAUGGUGCCGUAACUUCGGGAGAAGGCACGCUGAUAUGUAGGUGAAGCGACUUGCUCGUGGAGCUGAAAUCAGUCGAAGAUACCAGCUGGCUGCAACUGUUUAUUAAAAACACAGCACUGUGCAAACACGAAAGUGGACGUAUACGGUGUGACGCCUGCCCGGUGCCGGAAGGUUAAUUGAUGGGGUCAGCGCAAGCGAAGCUCUUGAUCGAAGCCCCGG
rnacentral:rRNA from 1 species